rnacentral:rRNA from 1 species
AUGGAACUGCUGGUGCUUGGCUCUUGGCUGGCUGCCUGCUUUGGCAAAAUGCGCGAGCUGGCGAUGGGGCAGAGGCAGGCGUCUCCGGCUCUGUAUAUACAGCGCCUCUGUGCACGUGGACGAUUGGGAUUUGCUCGUGGAGAAUUCUUUUUCUUUUCUUUUGAGCAGCCGCUGAGAAUUCUUCCUGACCGACUGCCGGCCAAGUUAAGUCUAGUUCCGCGUGUUCAUUCUUUUUUCUCACGAAAAGGAAGUCAGCGGCCGCUUCUCAUUUUGAAAAGUACUCCCUCCCCCCGCAGUUUUUUCUUAUAA